GGCGAGCCCACUCCCCAACCAGCUGCAGAAAGCCUUCCACCCGCUCCCCUGAGAGACCGAACCCCCGGACCCUAGCCUCGCUCACCACCCCCACCCUCUGGCCUGGGCUGCUUUGACCUGAGGAUUGCUCAUUGCUGGUUGUUAACAAGCACUUUAAAGGCAUUAGCUCAUUGAAUUCUCAUAACACUAUGAGGGGUGGUAUGUGCAGUGCCUGCAAUCCCGGAGAGCUGCAAGGGCAUCGCUGCGAUGCCGAGUGCACCAAGCAGCAGUGUGAAGCAACAGAGCACCCCAUACAAACCGCCGCGACGACGCGAGUCGGCUGCUGUAGCACAGGACAGCCCUUCUGUAUCUUCGUACAGUGAACGAGUGGAUGCAGCUGGGUCCCAGUAAAACUUUACGCACACUGAAAUUCGAGUUUCAUUUAAUUUCCACACGUCACAAAAUACUACUCUCUUUUUAUUUUUUCUACAAACAUUUUAUCAUGCAAAAACCUUUUUUUAACCUCACAGGCUAUACAGAAAUAGGCACUAGACCAAAUUUGGCCCAUGGACAACACCUGUCAUAUGACAGAGAAACUGACCUUUCAAGUUUCCUGCCUUUUGAAAGCCAAACAGAUUUGAUCAAUGAACUCGGUGUCUUAUAUUUUAAGAAAGAAGAGUCCCACUAAAAUUUAACAAGCCAGAUUUUGAAAUGAAAACAUCAACAUGUUAAGCUUUUAAUUCAAAGAUACCUCCCAUUUUAUAACAGCUUUUUUAAAAUGAGACAAUAUCAGGCUUUAAAAAUGUUUAAUGAACUAAAUAAGGCCCACCUUAUGUAGAAACCUGACUGUAAACAGGGCAUGUGCAUCAUUUCUCAGCCUUCAACAGAACUCUUCGUAAGGAACUUAUCAAUGAUUCGCCACAUUAUGGUAUUUUUGUUCAAACAACAUUUAAUAGUUCUAAACUUGAGGUAACACAAAAUAUACUACAUAGUAUUUUUUGAGGCCAAAUCUAAAGCCACACAUUAUCUUUCCCAAUGCAGAGAAGUUAUCACUGAGCAAGUUAUUAGCAAGAGUCACAUACUUAUGAUGCUAAAUUGUACUCCAAUCACCAUGCAAUUAAUUUUACACUAUUCAAAUUGGAACACGUUUUUAUCAUUCAGUUGAAUCCAAACAGUUCAACUGACCCUCUGUUGUGGCAACCAAAUCUCACCUCUAAUGAAAAGCCAAGAAAAAAAAAAAAAUUAGUAAUGAAAUCUUUCCAGAGCUCCAGUAAGAACUUCUCCCCUGGCCUAUGUGCCCAACCCCCUUUCCUACUAGUAGAAUGUGAAUUCCGAAAGGUAGGGUACGUGUCAUUCAUUAACCUGGCAUCUCACACAGUAUCGUUCAAAGCGCUCUGACUACAGUUCAUGCUCAAUAAAUGAGUGUGGAACCGCAAAGAGCUGAUGGAAUUAUCAUUCACAGAAAUGAA